GGUCCUAAAGUGUUUUUACAUAUUUAAUUGCAAAUUAAAAGAAGCUAAUACAAAAUAAUUAGCUAGGACUU
rnacentral:tRNA from 1 species